rnacentral:lncRNA from 1 species
GUGAAGUCCCAGUAAUUCAGCUCAAGGGCCAGGAAGUUAUCCACACACUUUUGCUGGCUCUGAGCAGGACAGAUGGAGUUGGGGUUCCUUCAGUGGCUUCCACAGCCUUCCCAGCAGGAGACCCACACACUGCCUCCCAGGCACCUGCUCCUGCCACCAGAUGACCACUGCGGGGCUGAGGACACAGACAGCACUCACUUCUGUGGACGCUGUCCCCUGUGUCACAGGCGUCUCUCCUCCUCCCCCAUCUGUCUGGGUUUCCUUGGCUCACUCAGCGCUUACCCAGAUUGCACCACCAGCCCCACGGCCCAGGAGUCCCACACAGUCUGCUGCAGAAGGUGGGAAAGGUACAGAUGCCUUCUUUUAAACAAAGAUGGUUCAAAUAGCUGCCUUUUAUGCUAUGGCCGCCCAUUGUUUUUAAAGUGCAACCUUGACAAAGAUUCUUCUUCAUGAUGCUUAGUCGGGUUUCUGCACCUUCUUCUGGGCCCUUGGUGUAUUCCCUUAAAAACGCAAUUUUAGCAAAAAUCCCUGCCGAGUCAGUGUAGCAAGAAUCUCCCCCAUCCAUUUAUCAUGCUCCGUAUCCAACCAGGCUCCUCGGUCUCAUCAUCCAAGGUGACAUCCACUCCAUCUGGCUUCUCUUUAGCAAGAAUGCUGUUAGUUCAGUUCAGCCAGGGGCCACAGACCCCUUGCUAUGUUGUGAGCGUGGUUAGUCCAGG